rnacentral:rRNA from 1 species
UACGAAGGGGGCGAGCGUUGUUCGGAUUUACUGGGCGUAAAGGGCGCGCAGGCGGCUCAUUUUGUCAGGCGUGAAAGCCCCGGGCUUAACCUGGGACUGCGUUUGAUACGGAUGGGCUAGAGUUCGGGAGAGGAGAGUGGAAUUCCCAGUGUAGAGGUGAAAUUCGUAGAUAUUGGGAAGAACACCGGUGGCGAAGGCGGCUCUCUGGACCGAGACUGACGCUGAGGCGCGAAAGCGUGGGGAGCAAACAGG